rnacentral:tRNA from 1 species
CCCUCGGUCGUCUAGUUGGUUUAUGGCGUCCGGCUGUAAUAGUUCAGUCUCACCGGAAUGGUUAGUUAAAAUCAAAAUCAUUACUCUCAGUCAAUUGCUAACAAUUGAAAAGUCGCGCGUUCGACUCGCGCCUGAGGGA